rnacentral:lncRNA from 1 species
UUUUCUUUUUUCUCUUCUUUUCUUUUCUCUCUCCUCUUCUCUCCUUUCCUCUUCAUUUCUUUUCUUUUUAACAUGAAACCACCAAGUGUGCUGGAUCCUUCACCCAGAUUGAUGUUAUGGGGCAGGAGGACUCAACAUACAACAUACAAGGCCACAGGGACAAUCUAACUGGGGAGAGAAGAUCUGGUGAGCCCACUGCAAGUGAGAUUUCCAAGGGGCCUAAUGUGUGCUGGACAGAGGAGCUCCUUACACCUUGUCUGCUUCUCACCGUAAUGGUGAUGCAGUGUGUCACCCCACUCUAGGACCAGCGCUGCCAUGGCUCCCACACCAAUCCUGAGAUGGAGUUCGGAGCUGAUUUUGGAGAUGGAAACACCGGACUUACGCAGAGGGUAGCGGUCCAACAUUGUGGGUGAGGUGGUGUCAUGCAAAGAAUUGAGACUUUGAAGCCAGCAUCUCUGGGUUUGAAAUGCCUCUGUCAUGUGGUAGCUGUGUGACCUGAAGCAAAUCGCUCAAUGGUUAUAAACCUCAAUUUUGGCAUCUGUAAGGUGGAGAUAGUAAUGGUACUUAUCAAAUAGAUUUGUU